GUGUAUGGCCAUACCACCCUAGACGCACCUGAUUUCAUCUGCUCUUGGAAGCUAAACUGUUGGGCCUGGUUAGUGCUUGGAUGGGAGAUAGGUUGAAGGGUGAUUUAAACA
rnacentral:rRNA from 10 species